rnacentral:rRNA from 1 species
UACGGAAGCAGCAGUGGGGAAUAUUGCACAAUGGGCGCAAGCCUGAUGCAGCCAUGCCGCGUGUAUGAAGAAGGCCUUCGGGUUGUAAAGUACUUUCAGUCGUGAGGAAGGUGUUAAGGUUAAUAACCUUAGCAAUUGACGUUAGCGACAGAAGAAGCACCGGCUAACUCCGUGCCAGCAGCCGCGGUAAUACGGAGGGUGCGAGCGUUAAUCGGAAUUACUGGGCGUAAAGGGCACGCAGGCGGCUAAUUAAGUUGGAUGUGAAAUCCCCGGGCUUAACCUGGGAAUGGCAUUCAAGACUGGUUAGCUAGAGUCUUGUAGAGGGGGUAGAAUUCCAUGUGUAGCGGUGAAAUGCGUAGAGAUGUGGAGGAAUACCGGGUGGCGAAGGCGGCCCCUGGGACAAAGACUGACGCUCAUGUGCGAAAGCGUGGGGAGCAAACAGGAUUAGAUACC